rnacentral:rRNA from 1 species
UACGUAGGGGGCUAGCGUUGUCCGGAUUUAUUGGGCGUAAAGAGCGUGUAGGCGGCCAGGUAGGUCUGCUGUGAAAACUCGAGGCUCAACCUCGAGACGUCGGCGGAAACCAUCUGGCUAGAGUCCGGAAGAGGAGAGUGGAAUUCCUGGUGUAGCGGUGAAAUGCGCAGAUAUCGGAAGGAACACCAGAGGCGAAAGCGGCUUCCUGGUCCAGCACCGACGUUCAGGCACGAAAGCGUGGGGAGCAAACAGG